UACCUUGUUACGACUUAGCCCCAAWUAUCGGUUUUACCCUAACACGCUCCUUGCGGUCACAUGCUUUAGGUACCCCCAACUUUCAUGGCUUGACGGGCGGUGUGUACAAGGCCCGGGAACGUAUUCACCGCGUCAUUGCUGAUACGCGAUUACUAGCGAAUCCAGCUUCACGGGGUCGAGUUGCAGACCCCGAUCCGAACUGUGAACGGCUUUAAGGGAUUGGCGCNCCUUUGCAGGUUGGCUGCCCUCUGUACCGCCCAUUGUAGCACGUGUGUAGCCCCGGACGUAAGGGCCAUGAUGACUUGACGUCGUCCCCGCCUUCCUCUCUGUUUGCACAGGCAGUCUGGAUAGAGUCCCCACCAUUAUGUGCUGGCAACUAUCCACAGGGGUUGCGCUCGUUGCGGGACUUAACCCAACACCUCACGGCACGAGCUGACGACAGCCAUGCAGCACCUAGUUUCCUGUCCCGAAGGACGAUAUCAUCUCUGGUAUCUUCAGUAACUUUCAAGCCCGGGUAAGGUUCCUCGCGUAUCAUCGAAUUAAACCACAUGCUCCUCCGCUUGUGCGGGCCCCCGUCAAUUCCUUUGAGUUUCACCCUUGCGGGCGUACUCCCCAGGUGGAACACUUAACGCUUUCGCUUGGACGCCGACUGUCUAUCGCCGACAUCGAGUGUUCAUCGUUUAGGGCGUGGACUACCAGGGUAUCUAAUCCUGUUCGAUCCCCACGCUUUCGUGCCUCAGCGUCAAUCGUACUUUGGUAAGCUGCCUUCGCAAUCGGUGUUCUGUGGCAUAUCUAUGCAUUUCACCGCUACUUGCCACAUUCCGCCUACCUCAGGUACAUUCAAGAGANCCAGUAUCAAAGGCACUGCGAUGGUUGAGCCACCGUCUUUCACCCCUGACUUAGAUCCCCGCCUGCGCACCCUUUAAACCCAAUAAUUCCGGAUAACGCUCGGAUCCUCCGUAUUACCGCGGCUGCUGGCACGGAGUUAGCCGAUCCUUAUUCUCACGGUACAUUCAGCUCAUUAUACAUAAUGAGGGUUAUUCCCGUGCAAAAGCAGUUUACAACCCGUAGGGCCGUCUUCCUGCACGCGGCAUGGCUGGUUCAGAGUUCCCUCCAUUGACCAAUAUUCCUUACUGCUGCCUCCCGUAGGAGUCUGGUCCGUGUCUCAGUACCAGUGUGGGGGAUUCUCCUCUCAGAGCCCCUAGACAUCGUCGCCUUGGUAGGCCGUUACCCUACCAACCAGCUAAUGUCACGCGAGCCCAUCCAUUUCCUAUAAAUAUUUCAUCACUACGCCAUGCGGCACCGUGAUCAUAUGCGGGCUUAAUCCGGAUUUCUCCGGGCUAUCCCCCUGAAAUGGGCAGGUUGCUCACGCGUUACGCACCCGUGCGCCACUCUCAUCGGUCACCGAAGCUACCGAAUCCCGUCCGACUUGCAUGUAUUAGGCCUGCCGCUAGCGUUCAUCCUGAGCCAGGAUAAACUCA
rnacentral:rRNA from 1 species